rnacentral:rRNA from 1 species
AUUCCAGCUCCAAUAGCGUAUGUUAAUGUUGUUGCAGUUAAAAAGCUCGUAGUUGGAUUUCUGGUCGGAACGCCGGUCCGGCUCCGCAAGGGGUCGUGUAUUGGUUUCUCCUGCCAUCCUCAGGGGGAGCUGCGCUGGUAUUCAUUUAUCGGCGUGGUUACGCCUGUCGUUUACUGUGAACAAAUUAGAGUGUUCAAAGCAAGGUGUACUUGAAUACAUUAGCAUGGAAUAAUAAGAUAGGACUUUGGUGGUUCUUUUUGAUAUUUUGUUGGUUUGCACGCCAAAGUAAUGAUUAAUAGGAGCAGUUGGGGGUAUUCGUAUUCAAUUGUCAGAGGUGAAAUUCUUGGAUUUAUAGAAGACGAACUACUGCGAAAGCAUUUACCAAGGAUGUUUUCAUCA